UUCUAAAACAGCUCAUCACCUUCCCUUGGUGGGAGUAACUGACUGACAGACGUGUAUCUCAGUUUGUCCAGUGCUUCUGAGGGUGAAUGUUAUAGUAUUAGUGAAAACCUUUGACUAUACUUAUUGGAUACAUUAGUGAUUCUAAGGUGUUUACAACUUUGCCGUGCACGCGACGAGAGACGGCCACUGCGGGGAAGUGAAGUGAGACUCAAAGCAGGAGUAUCUCAGCUUACUUCCCAGGACCAAGGGCGUCCUAGCAUUAGUAGUGGCCUUCCAUGGGGUCACUCUUCACGCAGGUCACGGCCAUGGCCUCUCCAGCCUUUACAUUGUCCAGGGAGGGUGCAGGCCGUCACGGAUGGGAGGCUGUGGCGUACCCGAGCCGCGCUGUAUUGUGGCGAGAUCAGGAGAGGAGGGUGGUCAGGCUCACGAAGUUUUGAAGGUUCCCACCACCUGUCUUCACAACACCCUCACAUCCAUCAUAGACAAACAGCCACUGACAACAAUUAAGCAAACAAACAGAGAUGGAGACUGUUACAGCAUCACACAAGACUGAAUGAUGCAGUUCCUUGAGUCGCCGCCAUAACAACAACAAAAACAACAACAACAACAGGGGCAUUCGGGAUUACAUAAAGAUGCUAAAAAACGCAACACGAAGCCACGCCUUUACUUCGCCCCAAUAUGACCCUCCAGUCAGCCAAUCAGUGCCUAUAAACCACUAAAGCAAGAACUAUCUCCACUCUUAUUGCUUCUCCCUUUCUGCUCCAUCGCCGCCGUCGCCACCACCGUCCCCCGCCACUACCAUCGCCAAGCCACGCUAGUCCAGACCGACCUUCAGCCCUUCACCACCUGAGAGAAAGGUGACUUCCGCCGCACAGGUGUUCCUCCCCCCCACCCUCCUUCCUCCCAGGCCGGCCGACGUAAUCACUUCCUCGUACCAUCGACUCGUCAUGACAGUUUCUCGAAGCUCAAAUGGACAGGUGUGCAUGACCGGGCAGUGAGUGUAUGGCGGCUGAUAGGGAGCGCGAUAAGCAAACCCGUCGGGCAGGCAGCAGCAGCAGCAUCUCGCGGCGGGGCAGAAGUGGGAAGACCCUAGCCCCGGAGAGGAAAGCUGCUGAAUCUUUCUCUUCAUACAACCCUGAACCGGUUCGUCUGGUUGCUUUACUUUGGCUGCUGUGGUGGUGUACCUCAUGGGAGCAGAAUGAAGGAGGCAGGGGGAGGUACUACAGCUGUUUUGAGAGUGCCUCCAUCUGUAUGGCAACGAAGGUCAGAGAAGAACACCUGCGAUGGAAGUGCGUGUGGGGAGUGUAGCGCAUGUAGGUACGUGUGUAUAGAUGUCACGAAAAUGACAUAAUGAAGGUUUUAUUGCAAUGUGUGCAGUUGUGUCUUUUGUAUACUUCUGUGUAUCAUUUUUUAUCUCCUUCAUGUUCCUUUUCUAAUUUCCUUCUACUUUUCCAUUUUUUCUUCCAUGUCUCGUUUUGAUUUAUGAUUAUACUUUUUAUUUCUUUUUCAUUUCUACAUCUCUUUCUUUAUUUCUCCUCACCGUCAUGGAAUUCUGGUAACUGACAAUAGCUGUGUGACGGAGAAAGAAGCUCAAGUUACCAGUGUUUUGCCGAGACGUGUUGGAAAAUUCUGCUGUUGAUUUAAUUUCACGCUGGUCCUCGCGUCAGUCUUGCGUCUCCAGCGUGGAAUUGUUGAUUGA
rnacentral:lncRNA from 1 species